GACGGAGGCUCCGGGGUCAGAGGCGAAAGGCUUCCCAGCAUCCUCGUUGAUUGGCGAAGUGAUGUCGGCCAUCUUGGAUUGUAGCGGGGAAGAAAGAUUGAUGCGGUGACACGCGGUAUGUUUGGUGCUAACCGGAAGAAGUUUAUGGAGGAGGGGUAGAGAGCGACUACUCGGACGACUCCAGCCUCUACUACACCCAACAGUCCAUGUUCCCUCCACACCGCCCUGACAAAGACAUGCUGGCGUCUUCCUCUGCUCCUCAACGGGUCAACUGUCACAGCUCGGAGCCAGUUUAUAUGGCCCGCAGAGUAAGAUGAACACACACACAUCUGUUUCUGUCUCAUAAUCAGAGUCUUGCUCGAGCUUCCUUUAUGUUGUCUUUACUCAUACAAAAUCUAAAACAUGAUAAGCCUUCAGCUGCA